rnacentral:lncRNA from 1 species
AUGACUUCUAGAUUGCCUGCACUGUGGCCAGCGUACUGGGCCUUUCCCACUCUCGCUAACUCCCAUUCCCACUCUCGUGUGCUCAUGGGGAGCUCACCAAGGGCCAGUUCUCGGGAGGACAGCGCCUCCUCCUCCAGCUUGCCCACAGGCACCAAAUACAGACUUGUAUUUCUUUUAAACCUCUCUUGUCUUACUUGACUCGGGCUCUGAUGGGGUUAGAUGUCUGUCCACUCCAAAUCUCCUGUUGAAAUGUAAUCCCCAGUGUUGGAGGUGGGGCCUGGUGGGAGGAUUGCAUCAUGAGGGUGGACCUCUCACGAAUGGUUUAGUACCAUCCUCUUGAUGAUAAGUGAGUUCUUGCUCAGUUAAUUCACGCGAGAACUGAGUGUCUGAAAGAGUGCGGCACCUCCCCGCUAGCUCUCCUGCUCCAAUCUCACCACGUGACAUGCUGGCUCCUGGUUGCCUUCCACCAUGAUGGUAAGCUUCUUGAGGCCUCCCCAGAAGCAGACACCAGCACCAUGCUUCCUGUACAGCCUGCAGAACCGUGAGCCAAUGACAUCUAUUUUCUUUAUAAAUUACCCAGUCUCAGGUAUUCCUUUAUAGUAACACAAAGACUAAUAAUAUAGGUUUCCACAAUAAAAUACCACAGGCCGGUGGCUUAAACAAUAGAAAUGUAUUUCUCAGUUCCAGAAGCUAGAAAGUCCGAGAUCAAAGUGCCAGCUGAUGUGGCCCUUGGUGAGGACCCUCCUCCUGGCCAGCAGAUGCUCAGGCCCUUCCCUCCGUGUCUCUUCUUUUUUUUUUCUCUUUGAGACACAGUCACGCUGUCACCCAGGCUGGAGUACAGUGGCUCCAUCUCCGCUCACUGCAACCUCUGCCUCCCAGGUUCAAGUGAUUCUCCUGCCUCAGCCUCUCGAGUAGCUGGGAUUACAGGCACAUACCACCAGACCCAGCUAUUUUCUUUUAUUUUUUUUUAUUUUUAGUAGAGAUGAGGUUUUGCCAUGUUGGCCAGGGUGGUCUCAAACUCCUGACCUCAAGUGAUCCGCCCACCUCAGCUUCCCAAAGUGCUGGGAUUACAGGCAUGAGCCACCACUCCUGACCUGUCUCUUCUUAUAAGGACAGUAAUCCUAUCAUUGUGAAGGCCCCACUGGUAUGACGUCAUCUGACCUAAUGAGCUCCCGAAGGUCCCAUCUCUGAAUACCUUUCCAUUGGGGGUUAGGGCUUCAACAUAUGGAUUUGGUAGGGCCGCAGGGGAUGGGCGGUAGGGUGGCUAAAACGUUCAGUGCAUAUCUCCCCUACAUUCCCCUCUUUGUUUGCUCUGAUAACCUAUUGGGCUCCGUGGUUCCCUCACCCACACCACGCUGAGCUACAUUUCCUGCUGUGGCUUACUCUGGGGCUGGUGGAUUUGGCUUUUGCUUCCUUCCCCACCUCCUCCCCUUCCCAAUUCCCUAUCCUCCAGACAUUCUACAUCUCAGAAAGUGGAAGCACCCAACCCUCCUGCCGCAGAUGGGCCCACUCCUUUGCCCAAACUCCACUGGGGCUUUAGGUGUC